rnacentral:tRNA from 1 species
GUGGCCGUAGUUCAAUUGGUAGAACCCCGCACUGUGAUUGCGGAUGUUGCCGGAUCGUACCCGGUCGGUCACCCCA